GAGAGAAAAAGAGGGAAGGAAAUGGAGAGAGGGGAGAUUGCCGACCGGAGAGAGGUGUGAAUGACGGCCAGUUGCAGUGGAGAGGGAGGGAGAAGCAGAUGGUGGGUAUGGGAGAAAAAACAAAAGGAUAAUUUUGGAAAUUCACUAUUUGAGUGUAUGAAAGGGGUUAUUUCUUUUCUAUCUUACACUUAAAUUGAAAAGUCAAAAAAAAAUUUGGGAUUGGUUUAUGGUAACAUGAUUUUCCUUUUUUUAAUUUUUUUGUCUCCUUCACAGCUUACAAAGGGAAUCAUUUCACGUGGCCCUCCUCUAAAGUCUCACUCGCUCUGUAAUAAAUUCCAAGAAGAUUAGGGUUUCAUGGAAAUAUCUCAAGCGAAUCAGGCUCAGUGUGGCCGAUGCAGCAAACUCUCAAAUCUCUAUAUCCGGAGGUAUGGAAUCUCAAAACUCCUGUUUUUUGAGCUUUAGUUCUGGAUUAUGUCAUGUGAUGCUUAAGAUGGCUGUGAGAUUUGAACGACUUGUAACUCAAGGAGAUGAUGCAGAGUUGGGUAAGGCUGCUUUUCUGUUGGGAGGAGGGCAAGAUAACGAUACCGAACGUGAGUUAUGAUUGUUAAUUGGCUUAGGAGGUCUUGGGAAUAUAUGUUUUUUCCGUGCAUCUCUUUUUUCUUAGAUGAUGUAUGGAAUGAAAUUAGGGUUUAUAUUUCCUUCCAUCGUUAUUAGGUUAAAAGAAGGGCACAAGGAAGUAAAAUUAUAUUUUUUAAAGUUUUAAAAUGAUAAAAACGAACAAAAAAGUUUUUCUUUUAACGAAAUUUUUCUACUUUAAAAUUAAGUUACUAUAUCUUUUAGCAAAUGCGGGUAAUGACAGAUAAAAGAUUGUUUGUCUUAGAUGAU
rnacentral:lncRNA from 1 species